UCCCGGGUGAUGUAAUUGGCAGCAUCUAGGGUUUUGGUCCCUAUCGUCCAGGUUCGAGUCCUGGCCCGGGAG
rnacentral:tRNA from 1 species